CUAAAGCCAUGCGCAUACUCCGAGAAUGAGGUCUGGCUGUCUGCAAGGCCAUCCUCCACCCACGGCCUUGUUAACCAGGAGGUGACCCAGGGCCACGAUGUGUUGGUGAUGCCACCCACAUGCCGCUGCUGUCAGGAAAUGAAAUGGUUUAUACCACAGUGAUAAGGACUGCAUAAAAGCCAGUCAGUGGGGGAUGAGGACAGCUGCUGCCACAGCACAAGCCAUGCCACGAGCUUCGGACACUUUGGAGAUUGGCAUCCUGCACUUACACAGUGGCUACAACAGAGGAUAAAUUGGGAAGGUGGGCUUACAGGGCAAUAAAGACAUAGCUGAACUGGACUACCCUGAAGGCAUCCCUAUUUCCUCUGUGAAGUGCUGUUACAUCUGCACAGCAGGGUGCCCAGACCCCACCAAAGCGUGGUAGCUGAGGUCUGCGUGGAUGCUGCGUGGAUGAAGAUGAAACCAGCAGGGGGGAUCUGGAACAAGACAUCUUUCAGCCUCAGCUCACCCAACAGCACUGAAGACUGAAAUGAAGAAGUUGGUGGAUUCCAGAGUGAAGCAAGAAGAAGGCCGGGAUGCAACAUGAGCAGACGGUCCAACCCAGAAAAGUGCUAACUUUACAGAAUGGGGGACUCCGCGCAUCAGUGGCAGUCUGCGGGCAGUCAGCGUUGGACCCAAGGUUUCGUGUUUAUAGAACGAAGAAGGACAUCUUGUAAAGGCGCCUUUUCAUGUGCGGAGAGACCAUAAAAAUAACAAGACCCCAGAAUGUUAAAGAGAAUCACGAAUGCACAUGGAAAAUGCUACGCUAAUCACUGAAUUUCUGCUCCCAAAUACCUCUGUUUACUGAGUUGCAGCCAGCCCCGAUGAGCUUGGAGUAUGCCAGCAAAAGUGUGCAUAUCAGAAAGCUGCUGUGGAGUACAUGUUGUGAAUUGUAUGGGAACUGUUGAAUCACGGCCUGAACCUCUAAUUGACCACCUGAGGUGGGGAAGAGGACAUAACAGAACGAAAGCCAAGAAGAAAAUUGCAGCAAAGGGAUGGAGGAGUGCUGCUUAACCGUCUGUCUCCUGAAGUCUUCAGAUGUUGGCUAAGAUUUCCUCUGCUGGAUGUGUAUGUCAGACUUCUACAAAAUCAACCCCCGCUCAACUACUCUGAGCUGGUAGGCAUCCUAAGUAAUGCUGUUGAAUAAACUGAAGUAAUUUGGGAUACAAUUUGGCAUAAGAGAUCACAAUUACUCUGCUGAGAUUAUUCCAGCAUUACAUCCACUUAUGAAACUACAAAAGAAAUCUGUCCACUGAAAUUCAUCUUCUAUGAAAGCUGCAGGAAGUGCUGACUGUCUACUUCCAGUGUGCCUGCCCAAAGGGAGACCUCUCUGCUGGAUCCCAACAAGAGGAGAUGACAAACAAGACAAGCGCAUUUCGUAGCACCCAUGACUCAGAUGGAGCAGAUCAGCUCUUCAGCUAUUGCUUCAUUAACCAAGGCUUGUUUGCUACAGACAUCACCAUCAAGAGUUUCCAGAGAUGCCACUGAAAGGUGUCCAUAUGUGUGCGGUGGGGAACCUGGCCAGCUCGCAGAGCCGCCUCUCCUCCAAGAACUGCAUACUGAGGCUUCUCAGUGUUGCAGAAAAAGCCACUGUUGCUUCCAAACUGCUAUAGGAACUGACAGGAGCGCUCCAUAUCCAGGUGCUGACUGACCACUGAAGAGCAGUUUGUAUGAAGAGCCUCAAAGGAGCUUCCAAAAGAAACUCAAAAACCUUGAGCUUACAACCUGGAGGAUGUUUGUCUACAUUUGCGAGGUAAAAUGGAGUUAUGCUUCAAAAUAAAGGAAAAUGCUGUGGUCUGUGGGUUAGUUCAUGAAGACCUCGAGUUUACUAUGGUAACUCCUUUUACAUUUUUAAUUAUAUCGCACCCUUAAUAUUUUGAAGAAAAGGAUUAGCAUACAGAGAGCGGAAAACUUUAUGCACUUUCUUCUUUGAAUGCUAAAAACUCUAGAAUUCAUUUCUGUUUCCUGAUAUGCACUUGAGAAAAAAUUGAGAUGACAGCAUGAUGUUUGAUCAUGACUCAUUAAAAUGGUGCCCAGGCUUCCUGCUCCGACACAACAGACAGUUGCGUAGCUGUUUGCAACUUUGACUUAAUAGGAUUUUGCAAUGCAGUUUCACAAUGCCACUUUCUCCCACUUUGCAUUUAAGAAUCCAGUCACUUACUGUUUAAAUAUCCCAAUAAGCUUCUGAGAGGAGACUUUCAGCUCUCCCCGCUUGUAGCUUUUCCUAAUCUUUCACCAUCCGACAUGUCCCCUGUGCCUCGGGCCAAGCGCUCUGAGCAGUACAUCCAUGGACGUUGUUUGAGUUUACGGGAGUUGCACCUCCCAGUAACACAUUCUUAUCCCUUUACAUCACAAAGUGAACCGCCAGCCCCAUUCAAUCAUUGAUAGUCUUUGGUGUCUCUUCAUUGCGCAGUGGUUAUUGCUAUAAACAGUCUUCACCAAAGUUCCCGUGUUUUUCCUGCUCUGCCAUAGAGGAGCCACCAAGGUUCCUGUUUGUCACCAGGUGACCAGCACUGUUUUGGUAAACUGUUCAACCCAUUUGAAGUGCCAUGGAGCCAAAUUGUGGAAAGGGCUUGUUCCAUCUUGCUGGCCUGAGCGCACCCAGCGUGGGGCUGGGAAUACCGGGAACACAAGUGGUUAUGAAAGGAAGAAAAGUGAAAAAAAGGGUUUUACUGAGAAGUAUGAUGUCACCCAGAUCACAGUCUAUUUCUGGAACUAAGCUGUGAAACCCAUGACACAUUUUGACACAUAAAUGUUGCCAAGUAAAACUGAUAAUAUAUAAUUGUUUAAUAGGGUCACAGCCAACUGUUUUCCAGAUAAGGAGCUGAACUCUUCCAUGCAAUAUAGCAUUUGUGGAACGUUACACCUAGUUGGUUCCAUGCUUUCAUUGGCUCUGGGAUUACUUCCUAUCAUAUUUAAAUAAAAAGACUAGAUUAUUGGGUACCAUAAGAACAAUGGAUUGUUUAAUGGUCUUAUGGCACUUAUCUUAAGUCAAUACGAAAGUUUUGAGUUUCUAGGGCUAUGUCAAGGGCAGUGAAACAAGGACUGCAUUCAGUGAAUUACUCAUUUGUUUAUUUUUUAAUGCACAUUUAAGUAUCUCAUUUUGGGGACUCAGAUAUACAUAGAUGAUUCAGUUAAAUGCAGAUUAAUUUACCAAAAAAAAAAAAAAAAAAGAGAAAGAAAUUGUGCUUGUCUGAGAAACAGAAUCUGGUAGAAAAUAUUAUUAUGCUAUUAUGUGCAAUUUGUUCUAGAUAAAAGUAAUGAUCAAACAACUUCCUUGUCUCUUUGCCAUGGUGCAAAUUUCCUGUGAUAGAGGUCUAUUUUGUAUAGAAUUCUUCAUCCAAGCUUUGUUCCUAGAAGCUUGACAGGGAUCCAUAAUGUAAUUACAGUUAUUAGGAGUAAGUAAUACCAGUAAAAAGAGAUGCUAUAGAAGUGUAGAUAUGGAAGGGAAGAGAUAGGUUCUGAUAUGAAACAGAGAGAGACUGUAGCCCAGAAAUGUAUGAAAAUUGCUCAGGACACAGAGGCAAAGAGCAAAGGCCAGGUCUCCAGGUGUGCAAGGAACAAGAGGGGGACCGAAAGGCAAAGCUUGGGCUUCAAUAGCCACGUCAGAGUUUCGGAGAACCAGAAUUCUUAGGCUGUCCUGGAGACUAGAGUCCUAAGUUCUUCUCGUUAUAAGUUUCUUAAUGUCCUUAUUUCUAUCUUUACAGACAGUCAUAUGGUUUUAACUAUAAGGUCAUAAAACCUUACAGUGUUUCCCUUUUAAAACCAAUGCUUUCUAAUCCUUAAUUGCUGAAAUGUGUGAUGAAAACAAAACAAAAUUAUUUUCUUCCUGGAUCUGAUGUGGACUGCUGGAUUAAUUUGCAGCUAUGGCCAUUUUGCUCCCUUAUAGAGAGAAAAAUAGGUUGAUUGUUUCCUUCAAACACAAAAUCACAUUUCUUUAGCGCUGUCCUUUCCCUCUCACUGUGAGAAAGGAGAGAAUGGUUUCCGCCACAAGCACACUGCCCUUCUGCCUUUCAUGGUGUCUGAAAGUCCAUUAACAGUUCAAACCAGAGCAGUUUGUGUUGGUGGUGUUCCCAUUUCCUCAAAAGCAGCUUCUCUGCAAUGACCCCAUCCCUGGAGGCAUUCAAGACCAGGCUGGAUGUGGCUCUGGGCAGCCUGGUCUGGUGGUUGGCAACCCUGCACAUAGCAGGGGGGUUGAAACGAGAUGAUCAUUGUGGUUCCUUUCAACCCAGGCGAUUCUAUGAUUCUAUGGCAUGAGGGCAGCAGUGUGGAAGUGACGCUCUUAUCACUGCAGAGGAGCUUGAGGGUCAUUCCAUGGCCAGGCCCUGGGUGGCCAGCACUGAGCUCCCUUGACUAUACGGGCUUUAGCCAGCUGCUCACUUGGCUUCCAGCACCAACCUGCCGUGCCCAUCCAUCUUCAACCCUCACUGUUGCGGAAAGUGAUCUGAUCUUCACUGGACUGCAUUGCAUGUAAUUAAGGAAAGGACAUAUAAGAAAGAACCACCCAUUCCUCCUUGAGUCCAGUUCUUUCCAUCAGUCUCUCUUCACCAUGCCAGCACUACUUUCUUUUCCCUUGCUUAAUAUACAGUACCGUGCCAUUUCAUUGAACUGGCAGAUAAGCUUGGACUCUGCUGUCCCUUAGCUGCCUGCCUUGAGCCAAAGCUUCCUGCUAUUUUCCUACCAUACACUGAUUUAUCUUUUGCUUUCUCAAGUAACGCUUCCCCAAAGAACAUGUCACGGGCUGAAUGGGAGCAUGGAAGCGGGCUGCCAGAAGGCACUUAUCUAUUGUUCUUCCUUACCCAAGAUGGCAUGUUAAUGCCAAAGGACUCAGUGCAGCUGCCAACUCUGCAUCAGCUGAGUCUUAACCUUUACCAUGCGUACAGCAGCCGUUUGCUGGAGACCAGCUAGCGCCAGAGUGCAGACUUGCCUGCCAAAGCUUGGAUUUCUGUGUAAUUGGUUCCCAUGUCACAGAGCUUACAAGGUCCAAUUACAUCCCCUCACUGUAGCAGGAGCCUUUCACUUGCUGUGGGGCUGAGUUUGAUGACCAUGCAUCUCCUGUUGGAUAGCAGCUAGAGGACCAAGUUCAUCCACCUGCAUCCUUGGGCUUCCUACUACUUGAACACAUGUCUUUGGGUGCCAAGCCCAUCGCAAAAGUAGAAGCUAAGCCAGAGGAAUGCAGAUCUUAUUAAAUGGAGAAGGGGGUGGUCAUUUGGAAAGCUUAGAAAUGUAGAGAAAUAGGUGUGUUUCUUGGUGGAGAAGGUUUGAUGGUGGGCAUCGCAGCUAAUGUUGCAAUGUAGAGAUGGAAAAUCUGUGUUUAUAUCCUGAAUAUCAACUCUUCAUUCUAGCUGUGGGAAUCAUUACACUUGUGGAAACAGGUGGUUGUUUGCUGCAGUGCUCAUAGAAGGGCUCUCUCCCCUACGAGAACCCCAGAUUGCUGUGAGAAAGCUGUUUGUACAUAAGUAACUGAUAUGCAUUUUUCAGAUUCCUAAUGUCUAUGAAGCUUCAAUUACCCAGUAAAGAACCAAAAUAAACCCCCCCAAAACGGUAUCAUGUGACCAAUUCAUUUAAGAAACUGCAUGUCCCCUCAACACUUGAGGAUCUGUAUGUAGCUAGCCCUACUAUGCCUGUUUUUCUCUCAUUUCUGGCCUCUCUAUACAGAUGGGGACCUUAGAAAUGAAAAGAUUGAAUGUCUUAUGACAGGCAAGCAAGGAGUCUGUGGCUGAAUCAUGGAGAAAACUCAAAUGUCCUGAGGAAUAAACACUCUGAGCAAUUUCUAGGUGACAGAAAACCAACUAGGAAAAAGCCCAGCAGGCCACAGAAAAUCAGAGAUAAGGGAAACAUCUGAAGGACUGGUGUAAAGCUACUCUGAAGCUGCCUCUCUGUGUGAUUAAGCAACUCCAAUUAGCAGCAGUGUCACAAACAGAACGCAUGAGGGCAUUUCUGCCAUUCCUGAGCCCUCAGCAAUCCGCUUGCUUUGGUAUUCUACGAUAGUCCCACCUCUCUUGGAGCCACGUGCAAAGCUCACAGACAUCAGCAGGAAUUGGAGCUGUUCUUAUUUCGCUUGUGAGCGCAGUAAGUUAUUGGUUGGGGAAAUGAGUCAGGAAGAAAAUAGUAAAAAAAAAAAGCAACCCCAAACAUCAGUCCUUGGUUCUGCCAUCUCCUGAGGUGCCCCAUGGUCAGCGUAGGAGACAGCGCCUCGGGGGUGGUGGGAAUUGUUGCUGUAGGUCUCCAGAGUGGAAUUUGCCCUGGAUGGAGACAGCACUGGUAGCUGCCCUACGUGCAUGGCUCUCCUCCAUUCCUACAUCCACUGACCUCUGCACCAAAAGCCCAUCCCAGUGCGUGUGUCCACAGCCUGAAAAAGCAGGCAGAUGCCAUGAGCAGGGAGAAGAGAGAAAAAGCAUUGGCAACUGGAGAUGUGGGUCUAGAACUCUUAACAAUAAGCUAGUUAUCUUUGCCUCUGGUUACCACUGGGCAGCGAUUCCCUCGGCACAGCAGCAUGAUGUUGGGCCACACGCUGGCCAAGGCAGUGCCCAAUUGCCCACAGCCUGGAUGGGAACUCUUCCUUGAUGCAUCAGGGCAGGCUCCAGCCUCCAUCCCAGAGGCACCAACAGCCAAACACAGGUUUCUCUUCCUCAGGAGCACGGUGCUCACGCUGCUCGCUUGUGGCUAUGAACAGAGGGGAAAACAAUGCGAUAAGUGCAGAAUGGUUUUAUUGUCAUGUCAACAAAAUAUUUUCUGCCUCCACAGACUGUGGAAGUGCUCAGCAUGCAGCACCCUUCCAGUUUUGGAAAACACUUGAAAACCACCGACAGAAUCUCACUAUUCCUUUUUUUAGCUCCAUAAUAAAAAGCAAACAAGAAAUAUGCUGAUCCCCAAAAUGAGCUUAUUUUUUUCCUUUUUUUUUUUAGCAAUUUAAUUUUUUAGCUUUGAUCUGAUACCAGAACCCAGAGGACUUACUUGCUAUUUCUAAAUAAUGAGUCUAAUGUUUAUGCUCUGAGCCUGAACUUUUCUGGUUUUGGAAAAAAUGUGACUUUACAUAAAAGUCCUUUGAUUAAGAGAUCUGCAGUCAGAGGAGUUUUCGAUACAAUAAUGAAAAGGCCUUUCAGAUCUCUAACUCGAACGCUGCUCAGCACGAUAUUACUCGAGAAGGGGAGAAGCCGGCAGAACAAUCACACUAUUAGUCUUUGCUUUGCCAAGUGUUGUGUUAGUCAUAUUGCUGGUCAAAUCUCCCAGAAGUGCCUCAGAGAAGCCUUACAUUGCACGGAGUGAUGCAUGCCUGAUAAACGCACCCUGACCUGGGUGGUCUGUCGCUCUGGCUCUCUCCUUUUAUUUUUUUUUAACCCUGUUUCAUUGAGGCUUUAAGAGGUGAUUGUUACACAGAGGGAAAGUGCCUGGAGGAGAAACAGAGGCUAUUUCCUCCUGCUGUGGUCCACAUUCCCCUGCAGCAGGGCUGCAGCAGGCUCUCCUUCCAAGAAAGCCGCAGCACAAAACAUGGCACUCCCUCUCUUGCACAGCGAGGUUCCAUCCAUUGCCCCAGCUGAGCUUGCAGCGCUGGGCAUUCGGAGCACUCAGCACCUGGGCUCAUCCAUGGCUCAGAAGGUGACCUCCUGCUCAGUCCUGGCUCUCCUGGAAGUGGGUUGGAAAGGGUGACUUUCGCCCUGCUAAGCAGGUUGUGGUGUUGAAGCUGGAUGCCUGUGUUAUUUAUGCAGAACUGACACGUCUCUUUGUCCUGAGCCGUGUGGCCCAGAUUCCAGCCCUUGUAUCUACAAAACAUUACUCAUGUGCGCGCUCCUCUUUCAAGUCCUUGAUUCCAAUGGUAUUACUCACAUGUGCACGCAUACCGCGGCUGUGCGCCUGAGUGCCGCUCACGUCUCUGCAGGGGCAAAUCCUGCUGCUUUCAGCUGAUCUACACCACUAUGCCAGAGAUAAAAAUCUGAAACCAGAGCGGCUCUCUGGGGAAAGGAAGAUCAGCUUAAAACCUGAUGAUUCUCCUCCUCUUCCUCAUUCUCCCCGCACAUUUCCCACUUCUGUUGCCAGCAGGGCAGCCCGCGGGAAGCUCUGCUCCUUUGGAUCACCGGAGCACUGCCGCACACCAGGGGUUAAAAUGAGAAGGCACUUUGAUUUUGGAGAUUUAUGGCCUUCCUCCUGCUGUAUUCGUGGAGCUCAUCGUUGCAGUCAGCCCUCCCCACCCCUGCAGCUGUCUGCACAUUUUUUCUCCGGUUCUAGAGUUGUACUUUACUUAGGAAAUUAUAAUUAUUAAAACACACAAGGUCACGCUCUAGAUGAACUUGGAAACAGUUCAAAUAUGUUUCAGGUUUGAAACUAUUCAGCGGUGAUGGCCAAGUGGUGAUUUCAUAACAAAAGAAUGGUUAAUUUCACACUUCAGAUAACAUUUCCCCCGGAAAGCAGUAAAGCAUGUUGGUACAGAAAUUAUUAAAGGUCAAAAGACUGGAGACGUAUAAUCAGUCAUUAGUGCCAAUAAUGAGAUAUUAAAGGCAGGCGUGGGGAGGAGGCGGAGCUGAUGCCUGCCCCUUACCUUUACAACUCUCAUUUUCUGAAAGGUGCUGUGUCUUUGUGGACUUCUAACGUGGCAGAUCUGGAGUGCUGCUGCACAAGUGGGCUUCUGCCCCUGCUGUAGGUAGAACAGCCAUUGGACCACAUGGACCACCAUCCCCAUAAUAACGACCUGCAAAGCAUCCACUGAAGAGCAGCGAAGCCAACACUCACAGUACCCACCUCCCUGAGUCACCUUCCUCCUUUGCUGGCUGGUGGGAAGAAAGCAGUGGCAGGUGUUCCAUGGCCUCUCCAGCAAUUGGCAUCAACAUUAAUCACUGCUCUUCUCUUGCAAAGGGAUUCUGACAAAGCAAGUUUUGAAAGAUCAAACCUCCCUCGUGCAGACAGCAGCCUGAAGUGGCUCUCUGUAUGCCUUGGUGAGAGAUGUGGCCAAAGCAGGUUGAUCCUGAUCGUCAUGGGAUAUCUUUUCCCCCAAAGUCAGCAACUCUUUGGAGAAAAAAUACACAGAAACAAACAAACACAAAUAAACCACUUAAAAGAAAAAGAACAGGAGAUGUCACAAACCCUUCCUUGGCAGUGCUCCUCUGCAAGCAGCUCCAGCCCAGCAGGUCAGCCGGGCAGCCUCAGCCAUGCCCUCAUAUCUCCAGUCUCAUCCUGCACUGGGCAAAAGCACAAAGUACAUUUGACCUUGCAGCUGGAGCUGUGGAAAUCAGCUCUAUCACAAACCAGGAGGACAAUGACUUUAUGAGUGCAUCUCGUGUGCUGCUGCCACCUGAAUGUGCCACUGCCAAGGCUGGGGUGGCACUGGACUCAAGUCUGUGGCUUUGGGGGAAUCAAUAACACCCCUGGAUGCUCAGGGACUGGAGAGGUGAUGCUUCACUGGGGCUAUUGUGCUGACUGAGGAGCUUUUAUUUCCUCAGCUGUGCGGAGGAAUGGGCAUGAAUUCUGUCUGUGACAGUGCACGUAGUGUGUGCACCACACUGCUGUGCAGAAACUGUCACAUCCUGGUGUUGGCCACAGUGCUGUCCAGCAAGGAUGCCAUGAGGCUGAGCCCAGCCUUGCCCUGGUGCCACAUGGUAGUUUUCAUUUAGAAAGAUCUUGCUCAUGUCUUUGUGAGGAAAAAAAGAAAACAAAAAACCAAACCAGGAAUGGUAGCGAGCACUCUAUGCCAGUUUCAUUUUUCAUCGUCGUUAUCAAGGUUUGGAUUGUACCUUUGGAAUGUCCUUAUCUAAAAUGAAAUCAAAUAAGCACUUAGUGGCGGGGGGUCCUACACUCCCUCAGCACCUAAGGGAGUUUGUGCAAUGCCCCACUGCUGCGUGCUCAGCUCGGUUCACCUAAGUUGAUGCACGUACACGUGUACCUACAAGUAGUGCCACAAGCACGUACAGCUGGUAACGUAUCCAAACACAAUGGAAUGCACGUAAAACCCAAAUCACAUUUUUUAUCGCCACACUGUGGCACGUGGCAGGACAUGAGUGGGG
rnacentral:lncRNA from 1 species